rnacentral:miRNA from 1 species
UAGGUGUUAUAUAUGUGUGUGUGUGUGUGUGUGUGUGUGUAUAUAUAUAUACACACACAUAUAUAUACAUAUA